GAAGGCAUACUAGUCAAGAAAUUACUCUACUGACACAUCACCAAUACAAACAUCUACAUUCUUAGAGAAAGAAACUUAAUUCAUUAACAAAAAUAUUAUCAUGAUUAACUACAUAGGCUUAGGUUGUAAUUGAGGAACAUGGUACCACAAUAGAUUGCCCCAUAAUAACAUAGGCUCCACCACAUGCAUCAUAGUCUCCACAUGAUCCC
rnacentral:lncRNA from 1 species